CAAUUAAUAACCAUAUAUAUCAAUUUUGUUAUUUCAAUUUUUAAAAAAUUAAAGGAAG
rnacentral:sRNA from 1 species